rnacentral:ncRNA from 1 species
CCGGGCCUUCGACAACCGCCCGGUCAGCUGCUCGCAGCCAAGCGUUGU